UGCCCCAUGGCUGAAUUGGCAACAGCGUCCGACUGUUAUAUGUGUUCAAUGUAAUUACCGUUGCUUAACAUCGGAAAGUCGAGAGGUCGAGCCUCUCUGGGGCAG
rnacentral:tRNA from 1 species